UAAAACAUGGACCCUUGUUUUAUGAAAAAGGUUGAGAUGUGAUGUAAAGUCUUUUUGGUGGUUGGGGGUCUUUCAAGAUUCAACAAAUACUACACCUUGUCUUUCACCUUUUUAAGAUCUAAGUUCACUUUAAUAUUAACAAGGUGAUGAAUAUGGUGAAGAACUUCAAGAACACAACAACCACAACAAGAACAACCAACAACAAUCUCCCAAGAAA
rnacentral:lncRNA from 1 species